CGGCUUACCCUGUCCACUUCGGCAGCCUGUAUGCUAAACUUGGAACAUUACAAAGAUUAGCAUGGCCCCUGUGCAAGGAUGACAUGCAAAUUCAUGAAGUGCCUUACACUGCU
ensembl:snRNA U6 U6 spliceosomal RNA